GCCGGGAUGGCGGAAUUGGCAGACGCGCUAGGUUCAGGGUCUAGUAGACGUAGGUCUGUGGGGGUUCAAGUCCCCCUCCCGGCACCA
rnacentral:tRNA from 1 species